GGCGAAGUAACCCAAUCGGUAGAGGUAGUGGUCUUAGAAGCCAUUCAGUGUGGGUUCGAAUCCCUCCUUCGCUAC
rnacentral:tRNA from 1 species